CGCCUUCUCCCCGGCCUCACUCGAGGAAGCGGUAGCUGGUUGGGCGAGCCGAGGGAAAGCGAAGAGGCUGUACGCAUGCGCCCUAGCCGCGAACGCUCAAAAAAAAAAAAAACCACUUGGUUCAACCGCCGUUAUCUCCAAUGGGAGUGCUCGGUGCCAUGGCAACCGGGGGUAGCUUGGUUGGGGGUGUUGCUGUUUAAAGGAGGCCGCGGUGGUCGUUGUGAUGAUGAUGAUGAUGAUGAUGAUGAUGAUGAUGAUGAUGAUUCCCAAGAGAUAACGGCGUGGCGUCGGCUCCCUCUUUCCCUGAACCGCUUUCGGUCGUCAGGUUGCAGGUGGGAAAGGCUGGCGACACUGUACACCGGUCGCCAGUCCCGUUGAAGUAAAUGGGGAUUGACUCUCUUCGGUAUGAAAGGGGAUUCGGGUGAAAGCGAAAUAAUAACCGAUGGAUCAAUAACAACGACGGUACCGAAUUCAGUCCGCCUGGCUUGCAAGGUUUCUGUUGGAAGUAGAAUUUCAAUUCCAUGCAUAACGCCAGUGAUGAAUGAUGGUGGUCCAAUUCAUUUGGAUGACACCAAUCUGCAUUCAGCCAUAUGGUACUACAGGAGGAUAAUGGAUGAUUAAUAAAGGUUGGUGCUUUUAUUGAAAA